GUAAGGGAUUCUUUAGGAAAAGAUUAUCAUACCAUGCUAAAGGAAAAUGCGGAAUCGAAGUUAGACCAGAAUGCCGACUAACAGUUGUUCUUAGGGAGACAACACCUGAAGAAGAGGCAGAGAUAGCAAAGCUUAAAGUUAGCAAUUUCCGCAAGCUUACCAAGCGUGAAAACCGACUUGUACCUCAUAAACUUAUUGAAACCACAUCUAUCUGGAACCGGAAGGGCAAAGCUAAAGUGAAUGAAGAAUGUUGAAAGGCUUCGAAGUAUGAUAAUAACUGCUUCCAGUUGCGUUUCCUCAUCUCUUUCUGCCAAUGCAUUGUUUACUUUCAUGUCCUUUUGUUCUAGACAAGUUAGGCAGGAAAA
rnacentral:misc_RNA from 1 species